rnacentral:rRNA from 1 species
CCUACGGGAGGCAGCAGUGGGGAAUAUUGGACAAUGGGCGAAAGCCUGAUCCAGCAAUGCCGCGUGAGUGAUGAAGGCCUUAGGGUUGUAAAGCUCUUUUACCAGGGAUGAUAAUGACAGUACCUGGAGAAUAAGCUCCGGCUAACUCCGUGCCAGCAGCCGCGGUAAUACGGAGGGAGCUAGCGUUGUUCGGAAUUACUGGGCGUAAAGCGUACGUAGGCGGUUAUUCAAGUCAGAGGUGAAAGCCUGGAGCUCAACUCCAGAACUGCCUUUGAAACUAGAUAGCUAGAAUCUUGGAGAGGUGAGUGGAAUUCCGAGUGUAGAGGUGAAAUUCGUAGAUAUUCGGAAGAACACCAGUGGCGAAGGCGACUCACUGGACAAGUAUUGACGCUGAGGUACGAAAGCGUGGGGAGCAAACAGGAUUAGAUACCCUGGUAGUCCACGCCGUAAACGAUGAUAACUAGCUGUUCGGGCUCUACGAGCUUGAGUGGCGCAGCUAACGCAUUAAGUUAUCCGCCUGGGGAGUCGGUCGCAAGAUUAAAACUCAAAGAUAGUAGCGUGAGAGAGCGACGACGACGACGAGGAGGAGGAG